GAAGGGUUGUAAAUGGUGGGGUUGUUGGGAGUACCUUCCUUUCACCUCCGGUCGAGAGACCCAAUUGUUUUGGAAAAGGCGAAGUGAGAGCAAACAGUGCCAUGCACUGUGGGUGUGAGAGCCGGCGGGAGACCGUGGGCGCAUCACAGACAGAGCCUAAUGGUCACGCUGUGGCCGGUUUCGAGUGAGAGCGUUCCUGUUGCGACCCGAAAGAUGGUGAACUAUGCCCGAGGAGGGUGAAGCCAGAGGAAACUCUGGUGGAGGCCCGUAGCGUUUCUGACGUGCAAACCGAUCGUUGCACUUGGGUAUAGGGGCGAAAGACUAAUCGAACCGUCUAGUAGCUGGUUCCCUUCGAAGUUUCCCUCAGGAUAGCUAGAGUCCGAUUCGGUCAGUUCCGUCGGGUAAAGCGAAUGAUUAGAGGUAUCGGGGUCGAAAGGACCUCGACCUAUUCUCAAACUUUAAAUCGGCGUGUUGGCAUGUCCUUUCCUACCGGAAGGACUGCCGAGAAUGCAGGGGCUCUGUGUGGGCCGUUUUUGGUAAGCAGAACCGGCGAUGCGGGAUGAACCGAACGUCGGGCUACGGCGCCGGAGUCGACGCUGAGCAGAGACCAGGAAAGGUGUUGGUUGAUCCAGACAGCAG
rnacentral:rRNA from 1 species